ensembl:miRNA aca-mir-128-1 aca-mir-128-1
CAGCAAUGUACAGUUGGAAGGGGGGCCGUUACACUGUAAGAGAGUGAGUAGCAGGUCUCACAGUGAACCGGUCUCUUUUCCUACUGUGUCACAUCU